rnacentral:rRNA from 1 species
AGCGAACGCUGGCGGCAGGCCUAACACAUGCAAGUCGAACGGAUCCUUCGGGAUUAGUGGCGGACGGGUGAGUAACACGUGGGAACGUGCCCUUUGGUUCGGCACAACUCAGGGAAACUUGAGCUAAUACCGGAUGUGCCCUUCGGGGGAAAGAUUUAUCGCCAUUGGAGCGGCCCGCGUCUGAUUAGCUAGUUGGUGAGGUAACGGCCCACCAAGGCGACGAUCAGUAGCUGGUCUGAGAGGAUGAUCAGCCACACUGGGACUGAGACACGGCCCAGACUCCUACGGGAGGCAGCAGUGGGGAAUCUUGCGCAAUGGGCGAAGGCCUGACGCAGCCAUGCCGCGUGAAUGAUGAAGGUCUUAGGAUUGUAAAAUUCUUUCAGCGGGGACGAUAAUGACGGUACCCGCAGAAGAAGCUCCGGCUAACUUCGUG